rnacentral:rRNA from 1 species
CGAAGUCGCAAGCUCGCGNGAGUAAGCUAAUCUCUUAAAGCCGUUCUCAGUUCGGACUGUAGGCUGCAACUCGCCUACACGAAGUCGGAAUCGCUAGUAAUCGCGGAUCAGCAUGCCGCGGUGAAUACGUUCCCGGGCCUUGUACACACCGCCCGUCACACCAUGGGAGCCGGUAAUACCCGAAGUCAGUAGUCCAACCACGUGAGGACGCUGCCGAAGGUAGGAUUGGCGACUGGGGUGAAGUCGUAACAAGGUAUC